rnacentral:miRNA from 2 species
CUCGGCGCGGGGCGCGGGCUCC